AACGAACGCUGGCGGCAUGCCUAACACAUGCAAGUCGAACGAGACCUUCGGGUCUAGUGGCGCACGGGUGCGUAACGCGUGGGAACCUGCCCUUAGGUUCGGAAUAACUCCCCGAAAGGGGUGCUAAUACCGGAUAAUGUCUUCGGACCAAAGAUUUAUCGCCUUUGGAUGGGCCCGCGUUGGAUUAGCUAGUUGGUAGGGUAAAAGCCUACCAAGGCGACGAUCCAUAGCUGGUCUGAGAGGAUGAUCAGCCACACUGGGACUGAGACACGGCCCAGACUCCUACGGGAGGCAGCAGUGGGGAAUAUUGGACAAUGGGCGAAAGCCUGAUCCAGCAAUGCCGCGUGAGUGAUGAAGGCCUUAGGUUGGUAAAGCUCUUUUACCCGGGAUGAUAAUGACAGUACCGGGAGAAUAAGCUCCGGCUAACUCCGU
rnacentral:rRNA from 1 species